rnacentral:rRNA from 1 species
CAGUAGCCGCGGUAAUACGAAGGGUGCAAGCGUUACUCGGAAUUACUGGGCGUAAAGCGUGCGUAGGUGGUGGUUUAAGUCCGUUGUGAAAGCCCUGGGCUCAACCUGGGAAUUGCAGUGGAUACUGGGUCACUAGAGUGUGGUAGAGGAUAGUGGAAUUUCCGGUGUAGCAGUGAAAUGCGUAGAGAUCGGAAGGAACAUCAGUGGCGAAGGCGGCCAUCUGGGACAACACUGACGCUCAUGCACGAAAGCGUGGGGAGCAAACAGGAUUAGAUACCCGGGUAGUCCCUGUCUCUUAUAA